GGCUCCGAACGUCUCCUGGGGAGCGGCAUGAUUGAAUCAGGGAUUCCCUAGCCCCAGGUCCCCUUCUCCGUCAUUCUCAGGACGAGGCUGCCCAGUUCUCAGGCAGAAAAAUGUGAAAAGAGAGACUGGCCUAGCCUCCCAGCCUACAUCUUUCUCCCAUCCUGGAUGUUUCCUGCCCUUGAAUGUUGGACUCCAAGUUCUUCAGUUUUGGAACUCGGACUGUCUCUCCUUGCUCCUCAGCCUGCAGACGGCCUAUUGUGGGACCUUGUGAUCGUUGUUGUGGUGGUAUUACUACUACUCAGCAAGAUUCUGGUUUUACUUCUCAUCUUGGGAGUUACCAUCAAGACGUUAGGUAUGGCUGUGUGACCCACUUUGGCCAAUGAAAUGUGAACAGAAAUGGCAUAUGUCACUUGUGGACAAAAACAUUUAAGCAAGAAUUUCCCUUGCUGUCUUCCUUGACUGGAGCGACCAUGGAAGCCUGUGUUGAGAUGAAGAGGCUGCCAACAGAUCAAAACACUUGAAAACUUGAGCAGCCACAUGGACUACAACUGUGCUGGAGACUUGCCUGGACCCACAGCAGGCUUGGUAUGCAUGGGGAAUAGAAUUUUGUUGUAUUACACUCCUCAGAUUUGGAUGUCAUUUGUUAUUACAGCAUUACCUAGCCUAUUCUGACCAAUCAGGUGUGUUGGUGGUGGUUACCAGGUGUUAGAAAAUAGAGAUGUAAGAUUACAGUAAAACUGGAGGGGGAAAACAUGUCACCCCAAUAUCUUGGAUUUAGAAGCAGAUGUUGCUAUGGAAUGAAUUGUGUCCCCCCCCAAAUUCGUAUGUUUAGUCCUAACCCUAAAUGUGACUGUAUCUGAAGAUGGGGUCUUUAGGAGGUAAUUAAAGUUAAAUGAGGCCGGGUGUGGUGGCUCACACCUGUAAUCCCAGCCCUCUGGGAGACCGAGGUGGGUGGAUCACCUGAGGUCAGGAGUUCGAGACCAGCUUGGCCAACAUGGUGAAGCCCUGUCUCUACUAAAAAUAGAAAAAGUAGCUGGGUGUGGUGGUGUGUACCUGUAGUCCCAGCUACUUGGGAGGCUGAGGCAGGAGAAGUGCUUGAACCCAGGAGUUGGAGAUUGCAUUGAGCCAAGAUCAUGCCACUGUACUCCAGCCUGGGUGACAGAGUGAGACUCCAUCUC
rnacentral:lncRNA from 10 species